rnacentral:rRNA from 1 species
CGACCGGCGCACGGGUGCGUAACGCGUAUGCAACCUACCUUUAACAGGGGGAUAACACUGAGAAAUUGGUACUAAUACCCCAUAAUAUCAUAAGAAGGCAUCUUUUAUGGUUGAAAAUUCCGAUGGUUAGAGAUGGGCAUGCGUUGUAUUAGCUAGUUGGUGGGGUAACGGCUCACCAAGGCGACGAUACAUAGGGGGACUGAGAGGUUAACCCCCCACACUGGUACUGAGACACGGACCAG